CGCGCCCCGCCCCGCGGCCAGAGCUUAGGGGAGACGGGGUCGAAGGGGGGGCGGGAGCGCGGGCCUGGGGACGGGGACCAGGGACGGGGACCACCCUGACUCGGGUGGGGGACAUGGGGGGGUGGGGGGUGCAGCCCCGAGCCCCGCGAGAAGCGGCAGCAGCAGCAGCAGCCCGGGCAGCGCCCCCGGGGAUGGCGGCGACGACCUCCAGCGGCCGCCGUGGCCCCGGGCCCCCGGCCCCAUGGCGCCGGCCGCGACCCUCCUCCUCCGCCGCCUCCGCCUCCGCCUCUCCGGCCCGGCGCUCCCGGCCCAGGCUCCGCGCCGCCGACUGCGCCCGAUCCCGGGGCCGCUCGCCCCG
rnacentral:lncRNA from 1 species